ACAGAAAGACACCGGAAGUUCCGCCCCCUCGUAUUUCACAAUCCCGGAAGAACCUCUGUUUGGGACCUUCAUUGGUGUGGAGAACAAGCCGGUCCGUGCACAGUCUUCUAGGUCCUAGAAGAGACUGGCAUGCCACCCCACACAGGAGCCAUAUAGGAGGAGCACCUGGGGAGCAUUCUCAACGAAGCAGAAGAGUGGGGCCCCCUAGCUCCUCUCCAGGCCUCUGGGCCCCAGGCUCCUAGAAGGAACAGAGACACCCUCUCCCGGCCGGCUGCAGAGCAAGAACUACGCUACCACGCGCACCACAACCAGAGAAGCCCGCGGGCCCCAACGAAGACGUAGCGCAUAAUGAAUGAAUGAAUGAAUGAAUGAAUGAAUGAAUGAGUGAAUAAAUAAAAUAUUUUUUAAAAAAGAA